rnacentral:tRNA from 1 species
GGGCCCUUAGCUCAGCCGGUUAGAGCAGUCGACUCAUAAUCGAUCGGUCCCAGGUUCGAGUCCUGGAGGGCCCACCA